UACGUAGGGUGCAAGCGUUAUCCGGAAUUAUUGGGCGUAAAGAGCUCGUAGGCGGUUUGUCGCGUCUGCUGUGAAAACUGGGGGCUCAACUCCCAGCCUGCAGUGGGUACGGGCAGACUAGAGUGCGGUAGGGGAGAUUGGAAUUCCUGGUGUAGCGGUGGAAUGCGCAGAUAUCAGGAGGAACACCAAUAGCGAAGGCAGCUCGCUGGGACGGUACUGACGCUAAGGCGCGAAAGCGUGGGGAGCGAACAGG
rnacentral:rRNA from 1 species